UACGUAGGGGGCAAGCGUUGUCCGGAUUUAUUGGGCGUAAAGAGCGUGUAGGCGGCCAGACAGGUCAGCUGUGAAAACUCGAGGCUCAACCUCGAGACGUCGGUUGAAACCGUUUGGCUAGAGUCCGGAAGAGGAGAGUGGAAUUCCCGGUGUAGCGGUGGAAUGCGUAGAGAUCGGGAAGAACAUCGGUGGCGAAGGCGGUCUGCUGGGCCGUUGCUGACGCUGAGGCGCGACAGCGUGGGGAGCAAACAGG
rnacentral:rRNA from 1 species